GCCCGAUUAGUUCAGCUGGAUAGAAUGUCUGCCUACGGAGCAGAUGGUCGUCCUGCAUCGGGUA